AUUGAACGCUGGCGGCACGCCUAACACAUGCAAGUCGAGCGGUAACACGCUUAGUAGCAAUACUAAGUGAUGACGAGCGGCGGACGGGUGAGGAACACGUAGGAACCUGCCCAAGAGAGGGGGAUAACUAAGGGAAACUUUAGCUAAUACCGCAUAAUUCUCUGAGGAGAAAAGUUGCCCGUAAGGGUAGCACUUUUGGAGGGGCCUGCGUCCGAUUAGUUAGUUGGUGAGGUAAUGGCUCACCAAGACUGUGAUCGGUAACUGGUCUGAGAGGACGACCAGUCACACUGGGACUGAGACACGGCCCAGACUCCUACGGGAGGCAGCAGUGGGGAAUCUUGGACAAUGGGGGCAACCCUGAUCCAGCGAUGCCGCGUGGGUGAAGAAGGCCUUCGGGUUGUAAAGCCCUUUAGGCUGGGAAGAAGUUUAUGGGGCGAAUAGUCCUGUAAAUUGACGGUACCAGCAGAAUAAGCACCGGCAAACUCUGUGCCAGCAGCCGCCGUAA
rnacentral:rRNA from 1 species